UUCAGGCUGAGUAGAGGCUUCUUGUACCCAGAUGGAGAGAGCAUCUGAAGUUACUAGAAUCCUUCUGAAGAAACUCAUUCUGAGGUAUGGGCUCCCUUCCUCCAUACAAAGUGAUAAUGGACCCUCUUUAUAUCAGAGAUAAUCCAGCAAGUAAGCAAAGCCCUACAUCUAGAAUGGAAAUUGCAUGCAUCCUGGAAUUGAUGCAGGAAACCCACAUAAAGUAGGAUAAGGUGUUGUCGCUUACCCUCCUCUGAUAAGGGUAGAUCCCAGAGGCAGGCUCAAGUUAAGCCCCUAAGAAAUAGUUUAUGAGAGACCCUUCCUAACACCCUGAGGUAAGUAUGAUAAUAUAACCAUGAAUAAGGAAAGCAGAGUAAAGCAUUAUGUCAAACAAGUGGGUCAGAUACUAACCAUUAUACAUGAGUUUGCCUCUCUCAGGUUCCCACCCCAGUUGUAAGGACCCCUCCACCCUUUUGAACCCAGAGACUGGGUAUCACUUAGAGCCUGGAGAGCACAAGGACCUGAACAACAACCGGCAGAGAAGUGGAAGGGACCCUAUGAAGCGCCUCUAACAACUCACACCUCAUUGAAAUUGUCAGGAGUAAAACCUUGGAUUCAUCAUACCAGAGUAAAGAGGUGUCCCAUGGAAAAAGAGGACCCAAUCUCCCAGUGGAUGGGAUGGAAAGACAACUCCUUAGUGAGGAUUUCCUGGGCUAUCACCUCUUCUGCUGCUAUGUCUCACUUCUGGGUUUGUUGUCCUAAACCUCAUUUGGCACAAGCAUUCCUGUAUAUAAUUUCUGAAUUUGCAGAAGCCAGUUUCUCGGAUCACCUACAGGGUGCAACUAAUAGCUCCAUACUCAGAGACCCUACAUUCUGGUGGACCAACUGACCCAACCAGAGCAGUGGCCAACACCA